rnacentral:rRNA from 1 species
UACGGGAGGCAGCAGGGGGGAAUAUUGCACAAUGGGCGCAAGCCUGAUGCAGCCAUGCCGCGUGUAUGAAGAAGGCCUUCGGGUUGUAAAGUACUUUCAGUCGUGAGGAAGGUGUUAAGGUUAAUAACCUUAGCAAUUGACGUUAGCGACAGAAGAAGCACCGGCUAACUCCGUGCCAGCAGCCGCGGUAAUACGGAGGGUGCGAGCGUUAAUCGGAAUUACUGGGCGUAAAGGGCACGCAGGCGGUUAAUUAAGUUGGAUGUGAAAUCCCCGGGCUUAACCUGGGAAUGGCAUUCAAGACUGGUUAGCUAGAGUCUUGUAGAGGGGGUAGAAUUCCAUGUGUAGCGGUGAAAUGCGUAGAGAUGUGGAGGAAUACCGGUGGCGAAGGCGGCCCCUGGACAAAGACUGACGCUCAUGUGCGAAAGCGUGGGGAGCAAACGAGGGAU